rnacentral:rRNA from 1 species
CGAAGGAUGCAAGCGUUAUCCGGAUUCAUUGGGUUUAAAGGGAGCGUAGGUGGUCUUAUAAGUCAGUGGUGAAAUCUCGCAGCUUAACUGCGAAACUGCCAUUGAUACUGUAGGACUUGAGUAUAGUUGCUGUGGGCGGAAUAUGACAUGUAGUGGUGAAAUACUUAGAGAUGUCAUAGAACACCGAUUGCGGAGGCAGCUCACAAAACUAUAACUGACACUGAGGCUCGAAAGUGCGGGGAUCAAACAGGAUUAGAUACCCUGGUAGUCCGCACUGUAAACGAUGAUUACUCGCUGCUAGAAGGCAACUUUUAGUGGCUUAGCGAAAGCGAUAAGUAAUCCACCUGGGGAGUACGCCGGCAACGGUG